GACGGAAGGUGCAAGCGUUGCUCGGAAUCACUGGGCGUAAAGGGUGCGUAGGCGGCCGCGCAAGUCUGGCGUGAAAGCCCCGGGCUCAGCCCGGGAAGGGCGCUCGAAACGGCGCGGCUCGAGUGCCGGAGGGGAGAGUGGAAUUCCUGGUGUAGCGGUGAAAUGCGUAGAUAUCGUAAGGAAGACCAGUGGCGAAGGCGGGUCUCUGGACAGUUCCUGACGCUGAGGCACGAAGGUCAGGGGAGCAAACGGG
rnacentral:rRNA from 1 species